GCCCGCUUGGCUCAGUUGGUUAGAGCGCAGGUCUCAUAUACAAAUAUGAGUAAUCAUUCGGUUACGCAAUCCUGAGGUCGCAAGUUCGAACCUUGCAGCGGGCA